rnacentral:rRNA from 1 species
GACGAACGCUAGCGGCGUGCCUAAGAAAUGCAAGUCGAGCGAGGCUGAGGCUUCGGCCGAAGGCCUAGCGGCGAACGGUCGCGUAACACGUAAGCAACCUGCCCCAGAGUGGGGGAUAGCCCGCCGAAAGGCGGAUUAACACCGCAUGUGGACAGUCUUUCGCAUGUAGGAUUGUCUAAAACAGCAAUGUGCUCUGGGGAUGGGGCUUGCGGCCUAUCAGCUAGUUGGUGUGGGUAACGGCCCACCAAGGCGACGACGGGUAGCUGGUCUGAGAGGAUGGUCAGCCGGACUGGGACUGAGACACGGCCCAGACUCCUACGGGGGGCAGCAAUUAGGAAUCUUGCGCAAUGGGCGAAAGCCUGACGCAGCGACGCCGCGUGACUGAUGAAGUCUUUCGGGAUGUAAAGGUCUUUUGCAGGGGAAGAAGGAUGUGACGGUACCCUGCGAAUAAGCCCCGGUAACUACGUGCCAGCAGCCGACGGUAAAAUAGCGUACUCUA